GUAAGAUUUUUUAAUUCAUUUUGUGUCUUCAGUUUAUAAAGAAAAAACAAGUAUAGACAAUCAUUUUUAAGAUAUAUUGAGAACUGUUGAGUCGGCAGAAGAAGUGAAAUCAUCUGCAGUAGCCAAUU
rnacentral:sRNA from 1 species